GCUGCGGAUGCCGCGGGCGGGCGGUGGGAGCCGGGGCGGCCCCGGCGGCUCCGUUCGCACACAGGGAGCGGGUUCUGGGGCCCUGAGAGCGCUCAGUGCGGCCGUACGGAGAUGGACUCGGAUGCUGCGGGCACCGUUCCGGAGGGCCCCGUGUGCAGGAGUUGUUGUUUGCAUUGGGUCCUCAUGAACCCACUGGGUUGUUGGUGCUGGCUUCAGGUCCAGCGUGAGCAGUGAGCCUUGAUGCUGCUCCUGUCUGCACGUGAUCCUCCAGAGCAAGACCAGAGGCAAUCCAGGGAAGACUGCUGGGAUGAAUACCUUCCAUCCUCUCCCUAUGUACCAGAAAUGGGAUCGUCUGACAGUGCCCAAUGGGCUGGAGGCCGUGAGCAUGGAGAGCAAGGGCUGCCUGAGCAGCGGACGGUGAAGAGACAGAUGGGACAUCGUUGGAACGCAGGCCCAAGGAGAGGCCCCGUGCAGGGACAGGUCGAGCACCCCGGGAUGGUCCCUGAAGAGAGCUGCGAUUCCAGAAGGGGUACGACGUUUGGGACGGACUCUGGACAGGUAUAAGAACCCCCUCCCUCCCCCUAGCCCCUCCCCUCCAGAGCAGAGGGAAGGGGUUGGGGGGACGGAAGGGGUUAGGGGAGGG
rnacentral:lncRNA from 1 species